rnacentral:rRNA from 1 species
GGGGAAUAUUGGACAAUGGGGGGAACCCUGAUCCAGCCAUGCCGCGUGUGUGAAGAAGGCCUUAUGGUUGUAAAGCACUUUAAGCGAGGAGGAGGCUACUUUGGUUAAUACCCAGAGAUAGUGGACGUUACUCGCAGAAUAAGCACCGGCUAACUCUGUGCCAGCAGCCGCGGUAAUACAGAGGGUGCGAGCGUUAAUCGGAUUUACUGGGCGUAAAGCGUACGUAGGCGGCUUUUUAAGUCGGAUGUGAAAUCCCCGAGCUUAACUUGGGAAUUGCAUUCGAUACUGGGAAGCUAGAGUAUGGGAGAGGAUGGUAGAAUUCCAGGUGUAGCGGUGAAAUGCGUAGAGAUCUGGAGGAAUACCGAUGGCGAAGGCAGCCAUCUGGCCUAAUACUGACGCUGAGGUACGAAAGCAUGGGGAGCAAAC